CAGUUUUAGUUGAUGUCUUGCUUGAAACAUGCAUGAAGAGUGUGAUUACAAUAAAAAUAUAAAUAAGAUCAUAGGAUUAAUUUUUAGUUAGACUAUAUAAAGGUGCAAUGUUAAUGGCCAAUUUUAGUUACGUACUUUUUCAAAAAUAAUAUUUGCAUGCAUUUGUAAUAGGUUUAGCAUUUUGAUACUAUAUUUUUAACACCAUUUUG
rnacentral:lncRNA from 1 species